GCGGGUAUAUGUUAAUGGCUAAACGAUUUGGCUUCCAACCAGAAGAUGAGGGUUCGAUUCCCUCUACCCGUA
rnacentral:tRNA from 1 species